GACGAACGCUGGCGGCGUGCUUAACACAUGCAAGUCGUACGGUAAGGCCCUUUCGGGGGUACACGAGUGGCGAACGGGUGAGUAACACGUGAGUAACCUGCCCACAACUUUGGGAUAACGCUAGGAAACUGGUGCUAAUACUGGAUAUGUGCUCCUGCUGCAUGGUGGGGGUUGGAAAGCUCCGGCGGUUGUGGAUGGACUCGCGGCCUAUCAGCUUGUUGGUGGGGUAGUGGCCUACCAAGGCGGCGACGGGUAGCCGGCCUGAGAGGGUGACCGGCCACAUUGGGACUGAGAUACGGCCCAGACUCCGACGGGAGGCAGCAGUGGGGAAUAUUGCACAAUGGGCGCAAGCCUGAUGCAGCAACGCCGCGGGCGGGAUGACGGCCUUCGGGUUGUAAACCGCUUUCAGCAGGGACGAAGCUUUUUGUGACGGUACCUGGAGAAGAAGCACCGGCUAACUACGUG
rnacentral:rRNA from 1 species